rnacentral:rRNA from 1 species
AAGGGCACCACAAGAACGCGUGGAGCAUGUGGCUUAAUUUGACUCAACGCGGGAAAUCUUACCGGGUCCGGACACACUGAGGAUUGACAGGCAAUAUUAAUAUAUACACUUUUUUGUGAUAUAUAUUAUGUUAAAUAUGCUAGUCCUUUCAUGAUUAUGUGAUAGGUGGUGCAUGGCCGUUCUUAGUUCGUGGAGUGAUCUGUCUGCUUAAUUGCGUUUCACUAAGGGCCUAUAAAUUUACGUAUGUUGCGGCACUUUGACCCCUUUCAUUCUUGAAAGCGCGUGUCUUAGUUUUGCUUUGCUCAUACAAUUAGGUCCUGAAAGCAACGAACGUGACCGCAACCUCUUGUUGCCUUUAUUACCAAACAUUGUUUUUUACAUUUUACCAAUGUACAAUUCAAUGAAAAAAGGCUUUUUAAACUAGAGGGACCGCUGUUACUUUCUUAAACCAGAGGAAGGUUGCGGCAAUAACAGGUCUGUGAUGCCCUUAGAUGUUCCGGGCUGCACACGUGCUACAAUGAUUAUUGCAGUGAGCAUCUCAUUUUUAUUACACACCGCAUGCGCGAGUCCAUUUAUUUCAAAUUAUCCUUUACAGGGUGUUUGCUUUUAAAUGUGUAUCUCUGCGCGCGGUAAAGCCUGCUUCGAAAGUAAGUGGGUAAUCAAUUAGAAGUAAUGAUUUCCUUUUUUUUUCAGCACACAUAUAUACGGCGUUUAUACCCGGGUAAUGCUUGUCGUUACUUUUGUGCGUAUAAAUGUUUUUUCCGUAUGUGCGAUUGUCAAUUCAUGGUGGGGACAGACCAUUGUUAAUUGUUGGUCUCGGUCUUAACUAGGAAUGCCUUGUACGGGUCUUUGGUUCAACAAACCACCCGGAAUACGUCCCUGCCCUUUGUACACACCGCCCGUCGCUCUUACCGAUGGACUUCUCUGUGAGUUUGAGGGACUGGGAACGCAGUUUAUAUAUUUUAUUAUAUAUAUUCUGCACACCUAUGGAAACUUAAACGAACAGUGUGGUCUAAAGGAAAGAGAAGUCGAACAAGGCA